GGUAAAUUUAGUAGAAGAAGAAGAAGAGGAGAAGGGAACAGAGAGCCUAUUCAGACAAAUAGUUAUGAGAACUUACCAAACCUGUGGAAAGAGCUAGAUCCUCAAAUCCAGGAAGCAAACAGAACACCUAUUUACCUCAAUCCAAAAACUCCUUCUUCAAGGCACAUUGUAUUUAAACUCUCAUAAAUUAAGGACUAAAACAAACAAACAAAAAAGAAUUCUCAAAGCAGCCUGGGAAAAGAAUAAAGUAACCUAAAAAGGAAAGCCCAUUAAAUUAUUAGACUUCUCAGCAGAAACUCUACAAGCUAGAAGAGAGUGGAACCAAAUAUUCAAACUACUGAAAGAGAAAUUACCAGCUAAGAAUAAUAUAUCUGGCAAAGUUAUCCUUUAGAUAUGAAGAACACCUAAAGACUUCUCCAGACAUACAGAAGCUUAUGGAAUUUAUUAUUAAAAGACCUCUACUGCAGGGAAUACUCAAGGGGAUUAUUACCUGAAACCAAGAACAAAAGAUCACAAAACUACAACUAAGAUCACCAACAAACUCAACAGCAUAGGAAGGGAUUAUUUGUGACAACAAAAAGAAAAAGGGAGGGAGUAAAGUUCUGAAUUUGCACAGGGGGAUGGAGAUUAGAUGCAUUCAAAAGAAAAAGGACUAAUGUAU